GAUAUAAUCGGCAACAACUAUUUGCAUAUAUGGCCACACCUUUAAAGUGUGCUAUUUUUAUAAUUGUAAAAAUAACACAUUAGAAGUUUGGCCUUGAAAGUUUUCACUAAAAUAAUAUAUUUCCUCCAACAUUUUCAAGUCAGCUUGCUCCAAUUUUUAUUUGGGAAAAAAAAUUCAAGUCAUAAAACAUAGCCUUUCAACUCUUAGGUAAAGCUUUGCCCAAAUUAGAAAAAAAAUCCCAAUUUCUUGAAGAAGAAGAACGCCUUAGCUCCAAAUCUGAAAUUUUUCACCGAGCAAAUUGAAGAAUUGAAGAGUGGUUUCAAAAUUAAAAGAACAAGAUGCUUCAAUUUAGAAGAUGAUUUCUUAAAGCUUCAUCACAUUUAAAGGAUUUUUUUGGAAUAGAGUUUAUCAGGGGACAAGUGGGAAGAAAGCCCGAACAUAUGCUUUCCUUAAUCUAGAAGUAGCUAAGGGUACAUAUCAUGUUGCAUGCCAUCUAUGAUUGUGAGGUCAGUACCUAUGAAUUGGUAAUUCCGGGUGGUGUCUUUGUUUGAUUAGUGUUAUUAAAAGCGAGAGCUUUUUCGCUUAAAGCGAGAAGCAAGGCGAAGCGAAGUUGUAUCACUUUUUUGCAGUGAAGCGAAGCUGUGGUAAAAGAGCGAGCGCUUCAGUCCCAGAAGUGAGAAGUGAGACUUCAGUAAAAGCGAGAAAAAGUUCGCUUUUCUCAUUAAGCGAGGUUUACUGUAACUAGUCUAUUGCUGUGACACUCUUUCAAGUGACUACAAUUUACGCUUCAUCAAAAAGAGUUAGCCGUUUUGAGAGAAGAGAAAAGAAGAGGAGAAGAGGAGAAAAAGCAAGGAUUCGUCGAUUUCUUGAGGAAUUGAGUGCGGAUUUCACCAAGGAUUCAAUCCUACAAGCUCACGUAGGCUUCUCGAACAGUGAAUGGCAUAGCCCAGUUCAGUCUAACAAUAGUAAGAACAUGCACCAAAGGUCAGUUGCUACUGCACAAUAAAGGAUCUGGUGGUUGACACUUUCUGAAUUGGAUUGGCACAUAAAAAAUUAUUGGCUAACUGGAAGUAAAGUUCCCUGUUAUCCUUUGCCAACACAAAGUUAAAUGCAGUCUGAUGAAUUUCCUUGAAAAAAGGCUGGUUUAUUUCUCCAUGUAUUACUUGCUGCAUCUUUUACCAAUGUCAUGCACAUGCAGUGAUAAAUCAGUUCUUCGUCGAUGUCUCUGAAUUAUUUGCUAAGAAAAUUUGUUAGAUCUUUUUAGUUCUUGAUCUCUAUCACAAGACUAUUGAUUUGUUGGUAGAGGGUGAUAAUUUUAUUUUAAAAUGCUUGAGUCGCUGGACAGUUUGCUCGGAAGGGAUGUCAAUUAAAGUUAACUUAAUGAAUCAUAAACUCAUUUUAGGUGGACAUAAAGUAGUACUUAUAUUUAAUAUGGAUGUCAAUUUUAUUCAAUAGGUUGAACUUCAGAAUCGCCAAAAUUUCGGGGAAACAACUAAUGAUGCGUUUAGGGCAGUGUUUGGAAAGGAGCAGCCUGGUCGACUUAGGUGCUAUGGUAGAUCAGUGAUAAAAAUUUCUUUAAAGAAAGAUGAGGAAACUAACAAGCUAAAAUAAAAGCAUGCCAAUGAAAUCACUUCUGUAAAAGAAGAAAUGAAUGAAAUGAGAGAAGAAAUGUGACAUUUAUUUAGUCAAUUGCUGUAAAACAACCCUGGAUUGAAUGUUCAAGAUAUACCAGGGGUGUCGGAUCUAACCUUGCUUAACCUGAUGAUGCGAGUAGUGCACAAGCUAUAAGAGGCCAAAAUCUUCCACAUUCUUCUAGGUCAACUCAUGAUUCAGUUCUUCAAAAGGCAUUUUCUGUUUCACACUCACAAGAAACUUAAAUGUCUUUCUAUUAUGAGUUAAAACAAGUUUAAUACAUGUUUAUUUUUGUGAACAAUAUGUUAGCUAAUUAGUGUCUUGAAGACUAUAUUAUAGGAUUGUAAAUCUGUGAUAAUUGGCUAAUCAACCUUCUCUGUUUCUUUGGAAGUCCUUUUUUUCCUCUAUGAUAGUAGGCAAGUUGACUAAUUAUUUCCCGAAGUUGAUUGAGUUAAUGAGACUAAGGUGUAUGCAUAAAUAGAGCCAGUUACACUUGUGCUCAAUUUUCUGAUGAUUCACUCAUUUUCUUUUGUAAAAGGAGACACCAGUAUUGCCUUCCUUGUUGCUUCCAGUUACAUGUUGCUUCGUGAUUUUUGAGGUUGUUUGGUUUUGAUUGUCUUUCUUCUAGAGAUAGGUUGAAAGUCAUCCAUCAUAUCCUUAUCAACUCUUUGGUCUUUGACUUUUUUAGCUUGUUCUUCCUUUUGAGCAUUGAUUAUAUUAUCAUUGGCUUUGUUUCUAUAAUGGUUCAUCAGAUGACCUUGCAUUUUGCCUUCCUUGUUGCUGCCAGUUACAUGUUGCUGCCAGUAACAUGUUGUUGCGUGAUUUCUGAGGUUGUUUGGUUUUGAUUGUCUUCCUUCUUGAGGCAGGUUGCAACUCAUCCAUCAUAUCCUUAUCAACUCUUUGGUCUUUGAUUUUUUUAGGUUGUUCUUCCUUUUGAGAACUGAUUGUAUUAUCGCUGGCUUUGUUUCUACAAUGGUUCAUUAGAUGACCUUGCAUUUUGUUUUCCUUGUUGCUGCCAGUAAAAUGUUUCUGCCUGGUUUCUGAGGUUGUUUGGUUUUGAUUGUCUUCCUUCUCGAUACAUGUUGAAUGCCAUCCAUCAUAUCCUUAUCAACUCUUUGGUCUUUGAUUUUUUUAGCUUGUUCUUCCUUUUGAGCAUUGAUUAUAUUAUCAUUGGCUUUGUUUCUAUAAUGGUUCAUCAGAUGACCUUGCAUUUUGCCUUCCUUGUUGCUGCCAGUUACAUGUUGCUGCCAGUAACAUGUUGUUGCGUGAUUUCUGAGGUUGUUUGGUUUUGAUUGUCUUCCUUCUUGAGGCAGGUUGCAACUCAUCCAUCAUAUCCUUAUCAACUCUUUGGUCUUUGACUUUUUUAGCUUGUUCUUCCUUUUGAGCAUUGAUUAUAUUAUCAUUGGCUUUGUUUCUAUAAUGGUUCAUCAGAUGACCUUGCAUUUUGCCUUCCUUGUUGCUGCCAGUUACAUGUUGCUGCCAGUAACAUGUUGUUGCGUGAUUUCUGAGGUUGUUUGGUUUUGAUUGUCUUCCUUCUCGAUACAUGUUGAAUGCCAUCCAUCAUAUCCUUAUCAACUCUUUGGUCUUUGACUUUUUUAGCUUGUUCUUCCUUUUGAGCAUUGAUUAUAUUAUCAUUGGCUUUGUUUCUAUAAUGGUUCAUCAGAUGACCUUGCAUUUUGCCUUCCUUGUUGCUGCCAGUUACAUGUUGCUGCCAGUAACAUGUUGUUGCGUGAUUUCUGAGGUUGUUUGGUUUUGAUUGUCUUCCUUCUUGAGGCAGGUUGCAACUCAUCCAUCAUAUCCUUAUCAACUCUUUGGUCUUUGAUUUUUUUAGCUUGAUCUUCCUUGUGAGCAUUGAUUCUAUCAUCGCUGGCUUUGUUUCUACAAUGGUUCAUCAGAUGAUUCUAACAUUUUUCUGUUAGAACAUGGUUUCUUUUUAAUGUUUUGUCACUGAUAUCUAUUACAUAUGAACAUGAAAUCUGAUUACAUUCAAUUUGUUUAACAAGGAUUCUCUCUAAUUUUUAAUUUCUUUUUUAA